GGCUUUGGUUUCACGUGCUCUGCUCUGAAGCACUCUCACAUGAAACCAGGAUGAUCUGCAGGGCAGCACUGUGGAAAAUGUGAAACAUCAGGCAUACGAUAGAUUUUUCAAAUCUGGACUCAAAUCAAAACUUGGCUUGUUUGCUGUCUGGCUGAUAAGGAUGGAUGAGAGAUGAAGACUUUGCUUUGCUGUUUCCACCGCAGAAUCUGAGCAUUCAUCUUAAAAGGGACAUUUCAGAUGAAAGAGUAGGUUGGGCUGGGAACUGACAUUCUACAUCUCCAGCAAGCUCCCAGGUGAUGCUGCUACUGCUGGCCUGUGGACCACACUGAAUCCUGAUGGAGACCUCUUCAGCGACAGAAAUGGUAGAGAAAAGCCAGUCUGCGUAGCCCAAAGGAAAGGCUCAAUGACAGAAAUUACACUAAAUAAUGCCUUUCCUUUGAAAUCACGGCCCAGAAUAAAGGGUUAACAUCAAAGAAGACCUUUCUAGCUAUUAUCUCAGCUCACGAAGAUUCCAGUCCCUGGAUAGCACUGUUGGUAUCAGCCUGUAUCAGGCCGUGUAUCAUGUUGGUCGAUAGCAGCCUCCAUUUCUCGAGCAUGGAUGAGGUAGGUGAGCUUGUCACAGCGCGUCAGCAGGCUGCACCCUAGGAGCCAGUGUGUGACAUUGGAAAUAAUCACCAAGGUUCGGGAGAGAGAUGACACCAUAAUCUCAGGGCUCCAGUGUGGAACCUCAAAUCUGGUUACUUCUCUACCUGGCGUAGGCCAGGUGCCAAAGCAGUUGCCAGUGUCUGGCCUAGAGCAGUGAAUAUUUGUGGAGUCAAUAAAUAAAUAAAUGCCAACGAGCAUAAGAUCAAGCGGAAAUUCUGCGGCUGGACCCAGU